CAAAGAGAAAGACGUAUACAUCAGUACAUAAACAAUGGUUGACAACUUGUAAUAUAAACAUCGGAUAGAUCUAUUUAAAUAACGAUUUAAAUUUUCGCGGCAUUGUAACAUUCAGAUUUAUAUGCGCAUGCGCAGUUGUUUUUGUUGCCAAAGUUUGAAUAUCCGCUAACGAGACCACAAGUGAUUUCUGCAGAGUUUUUAUCAAUAUCUUUCCUGUAUACAGCUUUUA
rnacentral:lncRNA from 1 species